rnacentral:rRNA from 1 species
UACGUAGGGUGCAAGCGUUGUCCGGAAUUAUUGGGCGUAAAGAGCUCGUAGGCGGUCUGUCGCGUCUGCUGUGAAAACUCAGGGCUUAACCCUGAGCUUGCAGUGGGUACGGGCAGACUAGAGUGCGGUAGGGGAGACUGGAAUUCCUGGUGUAGCGGUGGAAUGCGCAGAUAUCAGGAGGAACACCAAUGGCGAAGGCAGAUCUCUGGGCCGUAACUGACGCUGGAGGAGCGAAAGCCAUGGGGAGCGAACAGG